GAACUAAAACCUGGAAUCAUUCCCUAGCGCACAAAACAACAUUUUAAAAGAUUCUAUUGUAUAUUAAAAAUCUCAAUGUAAACUUACAGCUGAUAUGAACAUUAAUGUAGAGCAUGCCAGUUUUAUGUUUGUAGUUGCACUGUUUCACAAUAGUUCUUGUCAAGUCAAGUGACUGACAUAAAGGAGACAAUAAUUAAGUUAUCAACUAUAAUAGUUUUAAUACACAUAUUAAUACACAUACCAUUAUCUGGCUAAAUGGACCCA